UGGGGAAUAUUGGACAAUGGGCGAAAGCCUGAUCCAGCCAUGCCGCGUGUGUGAAGAAGGUCUUCGGAUUGUAAAGCACUUUAAGUUGGGAGGAAGGGCAUUAACCUAAUACGUUAGUGUUUUGACGUUACCGACAGAAUAAGCACCGGCUAACUCUGUGCCAGCAGCCGCGGUAAUACAGAGGGUGCAAGCGUUAAUCGGAAUUACUGGGCGUAAAGCGCGCGUAGGUGGUUUGUUAAGUUGGAUGUGAAAUCCCCGGGCUCAACCUGGGAACUGCAUUCAAAACUGACGAGCUAGAGUAUGGUAGAGGGUGGUGGAAUUUCCUGUGUAGCGGUGAAAUGCGUAGAUAUAGGAAGGAACACCAGUGGCGAAGGCGACCACCUGGACUGAUACUGACACUGAGGUGCGAAAGCGUGGGGAGCAAACA
rnacentral:rRNA from 1 species